AGUUUGAUCCUGGCUCAGAUUGAACGCUGGCGGCGUGCUUAACACAUGCAAGUCGAACGAGAAAGUUCCUUCGGGAAUGAGUAGAGUGGCGCACGGGUGAGUAACGCGUGGAUAAUCUACCGGGGAGUGGGGAAUAACAGUUGGAAACGGCUGCUAAUACCGCAUACGCUGCAUAUAUAUCUAUGCAGGAAAGGGGGCCUCGCAUAAGUUCCGGUUUCGAAAGAGCCCGGUCCCAUAACUUGUUGCGGGGGAACGCCCCACCAAGGGGACGAUGGGUACUUGUUUGAGGGGUGCCCACCCCAAUGGGAAUGGAACAGGGCCCAGAUUCUUCGGGAGGCACCAUGGGGAAUAUUCGCAAUGGGGGAAGCCUGACGAAGGGACGCCGCUGAGGGAUGAAGUUUUCGGAUCGUAACCUUUGUCAGAAGGGAAGAAGUUGCAUGGGGCCAAUCACCUGUGCAUUGACGGUCCUUCAAAGGAAGCACCGGCUAACUCCGUGCCAGCAGCCGCGGUAAUACGGAGGGUGCGAGCGUUAAUCGGAAUUACUGGGCGUAAAGCGCACGUAGGCUGUAUGUCAAGUCAAGGGUGAAAUCCCACGGCUCAACCGUGGAACUGCCUUUGAAACUGGCAAACUGGAGUAUGUGAGAGGGCGGCGGAAUUCCUGGUGUAGGAGUGAAAUCCGUAGAUAUCAGGAGGAACAUCAGUGGCGAAGGCGGCCGCCUGGCACAAAACUGACGCUGAGGUGCGAAAGCGUGGGUAGCAAACAGGAUUAGAUACCCUGGUAGUCCACGCUGUAAACGAUGGAUACUGGGUGUUGGGUUUUAUUGACUCGGCGCCGUAGCUAACGCGUUAAGUAUCCCGCCUGGGGAGUACGGUCGCAAGGCUGAAACUCAAAGAAAUUGACGGGGGCCCGCACAAGCGGUGGAGUAUGUGGUUUAAUUCGAUGCAACGCGAAGAACCUUACCCAGGCUUGACAUCCAGGGAACCCAUGUGAAAGCGUGGGGUACUCUUCGGAGGACCCUGAGACAGGUGCUGCAUGGCUGUCGUCAGCUCGUGCCGUGAGGUGUUGGGUUAAGUCCCGCAACGAGCGCAACCCCUGUUCUUAGUUGCCAUCAGGUAAAGCUGGGCACUCUAGGGAGACCGCCCCGGUUAACGGGGAGGAAGGUGGGGACGACGUCAAGUCAUCAUGGCCCUUACGCCUGGGGCUACACACGUACUACAAUGGCGCAUACAAAGGGAAGCGAAGCCAUGAGGCGAAGCCAAUCUCAAAAAAUGCGUCCCAGUUCGGAUUGGAGUCUGCAACUCGACUCCAUGAAGUCGGAAUCGCUAGUAAUUCCGGAUCAGCAUGCCGGGGUGAAUGCGUUCCCGGGCCUUGUACACACCGCCCGUC
rnacentral:rRNA from 1 species